AGAAGUUUAAAAAAACUGGAGGACCUCAAACCCCAGAGAUGGUUGGUGAUUAUUAGUCUUAUGGCCAUAGACUAAUCAUGACUGAGAGGAACCAAAGUCAAGCUCAUUAGAGUUGCCUUUUUUGAAAAUCAGAACACACGCCCUUCUCCUGAACUUCGACGCCCCUCCUGCUUGGCAUCAGCACGGAAACUUUGACCUGCCCCACUUGGCUUCUCUUUGGGCAGUAGGGUGGUUCCCUCCUCCUCCAGGCCCCAUCAUAGAGGGCCGGGACGUGGUGUGGAUACCCCAUUGGCUUUAAGCUGCCUGAUACUGCAGCUCAGAAGACCCCAGCCACCAGUCUCAGCCCCACCAAUAACAGGGAUUUCAGGUGAAGAAAGCAGGAAUCGAGAUGGAUAGAGCCCAGUUUUGACUCUCUCACUCACUGGUCUUAUUACACGGUUGAGCAGAUCACUUGAUUGCAGGGCUGUUAAAUCGAUGUACAAAA